rnacentral:rRNA from 1 species
AUUGAACGCUGGCGGCAGGCCUAACACAUGCAAGUCGAGCGAGCGGCGGACGGGUGAGUAAUGUCUGGGAAACUGCCUGAUGGCGGGGGGUAACUACUGGAAACGGUAGCUAAUACCGCAUACCAUAGGAUGAGCCCACGUGGGAUUAGGUAGUUGGGGGGGGAAUGGGCUACAAAGCCGACGAUCCCCAGAUGGUAUGAGAGGAUGACCAGCCACACCGGGAAUGAGACACGGCCCGGACUCCUACGGGAGGCAGCAGUGGGGAAUAUUGCGCAAUGGGGGCAACCCGGACGCAGCCAUGCCGCGUGAAUGAAGAAGGCCUUCGGGUUGUAAAGUUCUUUCGGUGACGAGGCGUUAAUCACAGAAGAAGCACCGGCUAACUCCGUGCCAGCAGCCGCGGUAAUAC